rnacentral:rRNA from 1 species
GGGAUAACUUCGGGAAACCGGAGCUAAUACCGGAUGUUAGAUGAAUCGCGCAUGCGUUUUAUCUUAAAGUUGGCCUCGGCUACACUACAAGAUGGGCCUGCGGCGCAUUAGCUAGUUGGUAAGGUAGGGGUUACCAAGGCGACGAUGCGUAGCCAACCUGAGAGGGUGAUCGGCCACACUGGGACUGAGACACGGCCCAGACUCCUACGGGAGGCAGCAGUAGGGAAUCUUCCGCAAUGGACGAAAGUCUGACGGAGCAACGCCGCGUGAGCGAUGAAGGCCUUCGGGUCGUAAAGCUCUGUUGUUAGGGAAGAACAAGUGCCGUUCGAAUAGGUCGGCACCUUGACGGUACCUAACCAGAAAGCCACGGCUAACUACGUGCCAGCAGCCGCGGUAAUACGUAGGUGRCAAGCGUUGUCCGGAAUUAUUGGGCGUAAAGCGCGCGCAGGCGGUCUUUUAAGUCUGAUGUGAAAGCCCACGGCUCAACCGUGGAGGGUCAUUGGAAACUGGGAGACUUGAGUACAGAA